UCCCUGGUGGACUAAUGGUUAUCAUGUGGCGCUCUCAUCGCUGUGGCCCAGGUUCAACCCCCGGUCAGGGAA